rnacentral:misc_RNA from 1 species
AGACAUGCCAACUCAACGACAACAACAACAUCUAAGCCAACUCGAUAAAAUUUAAUGUCUUCUUUAUUGAUUGCCUUUGAUGCUGCAUGCUGUCAACAGUUUGCUUACAGCAAAUAUUAGCAUCCAAAGUGUCCCUUGUAUUAAUAUGCUGUGACUAGCAGGAACUAAAUUAAAAAAACACUGCAGAUAAAAAAAAUAUUGAACAAUGCCAUUGACUAGUAAAGUAAAUGAAGGAGAUAAGAAUUUUCCUAUUCCAUUUAA